rnacentral:rRNA from 1 species
CGAAAGCCUGACGGAGCAAUACCGCGUGAGGGAGGAAGGCUCUUGGGUUGUAAACCUCUUUUAUUAAGGAGGAAGAAAGUGACGGUACUUAAAGAAUAAGCAUCGGCUAACUCCGUGCCAGCAGCCGCGGUAAUACGGAGGAUGCAAGCGUUAUCCGGAAUCAUUGGGCGUAAAGCGUCCGCAGGUGGAAGUUAAAGUCGAUUGUCAAAGGCAGUAGCUUAACUACUGAAAGGCAGUGGAAACUAAACAACUAGAGUGCGGUAGGGGUAGAGGGAAUUCCCGGUGUAGCGGUGAAAUGCGUAGAGAUCGGGAAGAACACCAGUGGCGAAAGCGCUCUGCUGGACCGGCACUGACACUGAGGGACGAAAGCUAGGGGAGCG